GCUGGUCAUCGUGCGGCACACCGACGUCCCGACCGUCGGCGUCGCGGGGUUGGGCACCGCGGUGCUGUUCGUGGCCGCGACCGGGACC
rnacentral:tRNA from 1 species